GAUGAAGAACGCAGCGAAAUGCGAUAAGUAAUGUGAAUUGCAGAAUUCAGUGAAUCAUCGAAUCUUUGAACGCACAUUGCGCCCGCCAGUAUUCUGGCGGGCAUGCCUGUCCGAGCGUCAUUUCAACCCUCGCGCCCAUCUGGGCUGCGGUGUUGGGGACCGGCCUGCCCCCCGGGGCGCGCCGCCCCCCAAAUUCAGUGGCGGUCUCGCUGCAGCCUCCCUUGCGUAGUAGCACACCUCGCACCGGAGCGCAGCGCGGCCACGCCGUAAAACCCCCGACCCCCAUGAGUUUGACCUCGGAUCAGGUAGGAAUACCCGCUGAACUUAAGCAUAUCAAUAAGCGGAGGU
rnacentral:misc_RNA from 1 species